UACGUAGGGCGCAAGCGUUGUCCGGAAUUAUUGGGCGUAAAGAGCUCGUAGGCGGCCUGUUGCGUCCGCUGUGAAAUCCCGGGGCUCAACCCCGGGCCUGCAGUGGAUACGGGCUGGCUGGAGGCAGGCAGGGGAGAACGGAAUUCCUGGUGUAGCGGUGAAAUGCGCAGAUAUCAGGAGGGACACCGGUGGCGAAGGCGGUUCUCUGGGCCUGUACUGACGCUGAGGAGCGAAAGCGUGGGGAGCGAACAGG
rnacentral:rRNA from 1 species